rnacentral:rRNA from 1 species
GUCUGGGGAUACCAUUUGGAAAACAGAUGCUAAUUACCGGAUAAAAGCUACUUUCGCAUGAAAGAAGUUUAAAAGGCGGGCGUAAAGCUGUCGCUAAAGGGAUGGGACCUGCGAUGCAUUUAGCUAGUUGGUAAGGUAACGGGCUUUACCAAGGCGAUGAUGCAUAGCCCCGAGUUGAGAGACUGAUCGGGCCACAUUGGGGACUGAGACACGGGCCCAAAACUCCUACGGGGAGGCAGCAGUAGGGAAUCUUCCACAAUGGACGAAAGUCUGAUGGAGCAACGCCGCGUGAGUGAAGAAGGUUUUCGGAUCGUAAAAGCUCUGUUGUUGGUGAAGAAGGAUAGAGGUAGUAACUGGCCUUUAUUUGACGGUAAUCAACCAGAAAGUCACGGCUAACUACGUGCCAGCAGCCGCGGUAAG